rnacentral:lncRNA from 1 species
GCGCCAGUGCACGCAUUGCAGGCGAAGAACUUGACGGUGCGAGCUGGAGCCGAGAAGUACCAGGUCAUCGAGCCCCUCAACGGCGACCCCUUCAUCGGUGGAUUCGAGACGCCCGUGACUAGCAGCCCCCUGAUUGCCUGGUAUCUCUCUAACCUGCCCGCUUACCGCACCGCUGUUGCUCCCUUGUUGAGGGGUGUCGAGAUCGGACUCGCCCACGGGUACCUUUUGGUGGGUCCUUUUGUGCUCACUGGACCGUUGAGGAACUCCGCUGUUAGGGGCGAGGCAGGAAGUCUCGCCGCUGCCGGUCUCGUUACUAUCCUCACCAUGUGCCUGACGAUCUACGGCAUUGCUUCCUUCAAGGAAGGUGAGC